AUCUUCGCUAACCUCUUCCCCGCGGGUGAGCGGCGCGGCGCGGGCCAGGGGCGGGAGGCCGGGGCUGGCCGGCCUGACGGCCCGUCCCCGCCUGCCCCGCAGCCUGCACCGGCGCACACGAACGCACCUUCCUGGCCGUGAAGCCGGACGGCGUGCAGCGGCGGCUGGUGGGCGAGAUUGUGCGGCGCUUCGAGAGGAAGGGCUUCAAGUUGGUGGCGCUGAAGCUGGUGCAGGUGGGGGCGCGGUGAGCGAGCGGGGGCGCGGUGUGGGGGGAAGGGGAGCGGGGACCUGGGGACGCCUAGGUGCCGGGUGCGGGCGCAGGCGGCCUGACCCUUCCGCAGGCCUCCGAGGAGCUGCUGCGUGAGCACUACGCCGAGCUGCGUGAACGCCCGUUCUACGGCCGCCUUGUCAAGUAUAUGGCCUCCGGGCCGGUGGUGGCCAUGGUGAGUACCCGGGAAGCGGGCGGGCGGCCCCGGGACCCCCAUCCCCGCGUGAUACCGCGCCCGUUCGCCCGCACAGGUAUGGCAGGGGCUGGACGUGGUGCGCACCUCGCGGGCGCUCAUCGGGGCCACGAACCCGGCCGACGCCCCGCCCGGCACCAUCCGCGGGGAUUUCUGCAUCGAGGAACCUGAUUCACGGCAGCGACUCGGUGGAGAGUGCCCGCCGCGAGAUCGCGCUCUGGUUCCGCGCAGACGAGCUCCUCUGCUGGGAGGACAGCGCUGGGCACUGGCUGUAUGAGUAGCCCGGCAGAUGCGCGUCGCAGAGGCUCUCACACUCCAGCCUCCUCCAGAGGGCCCAGGUGGCCGGGCUUCUGGCCCCACCCCACAGCGCUUGGAGCAUCCCUUUGGACGGGCUGCUGAACAUCCACCUGUCUGGACGUUGCAUUGAGGGUGGCGCAGGCCUCUCCAAUCC
rnacentral:sRNA from 1 species